CAGCCGCCGCGGUAAUACGAAGGGGGCUAGCGUUGCUCGGAAUUACUGGGCGUAAAGCGUGCGCAGGCGGUUUGUUAAGACAGAUGUGAAAUCCCCGGGCUUAACCUGGGAACUGCAUUUGUGACUGGCAAGCUAGAGUAUGGCAGAGGGGGGUAGAAUUCCACGUGUAGCAGUGAAAUGCGUAGAGAUGUGGAGGAAUACCGAUGGCGAAGGCAGCCCCCUGGGCCAAUACUGACGCUCAUGCACGAAAGCGUGGGGAGCAAACAGGAUUAGAUACCCGAGUAGUCCCUGUCUCUUAUAC
rnacentral:rRNA from 1 species